GUCUCGUUGGUGUAGUUGGUUAUCACGUGGGUCUCAUAUCUUGCAUAUAUGAUCUGAUAGGACUAUCAGAGUAAUCCCAAGGCCGCCAGUUCGAGUCUGGCACGGGACA